rnacentral:lncRNA from 1 species
AGAGGGGUAGCCAUGUUAGUCUGGAUCUAUAAAGAGCGACAAAGAGUCAUGUGGCACCUUAUAGACUUACAGACGUUUUGGAGCAUAAGCAUAAGCUUUCGGGGGUGAAUACUCACUUCGUCAGAUGCAUGUACUACAAUGUGUUAUGACUGCAAAGAAAAAUACACCCGUAUCCCUAAUAAUAAGAGACAUCUUUUUUGCAUCUCCACCUCUUCUCUUCCUGUAACAGCAGUGACAUCACAGUGCUGCAUGUUGAUAACGAUGUCACAAUGAUACUACAAAAGCAUAGUGUGUCUUAGAAUGUCACAGCUGAGCAGUGGAGGAAGCUGAGAAAGAAGCAGGCAGAGGGAAAUGACUAGUACUAACCUGCCUGAGAACAGAACCUUCUGUACAAAAUAUGUGCAGUUCGCUUUUAUCCUCUCCUCUUUGUCAGUUUUCUUAGGAGGCCUGUUCCUCAUGAUAGCUGCCAGGAUAGGCAAAUAUGCUUACAAUUUAAUCUCCAAGUACAUUCUCAGCACAAAGGGGGAGCACAAACAACGUGCUCAGUGGCUGCCCAAAACAAGGCAAAUUUCAAUUCGCUGGAAAGGAGCCUUCCUGGAGUCAGUGGAGAUGAUGCUGUCAGCUCAAACAUGUGUGGGGCGUGUGCUGGUGAUACUGGUGUUCCUACUGAGUAUUGGAUCCCUCAUCAUUUACUUUAUCAACUGUGCCUUGUAAGUAGAAUCUAGGCAUUUAUCCACAAUGUUUAUUGCUUCCUUAUACAUGGGAACAAUCUGUAAAAGCCCAAAAUGAUAUAUGUUCUUAAAGGGUGGUCUUGUGUCUACAAACACAGGCAAAAGGAGCCUAAUAGAGUUGCAUACCCAGCUCCUGCUGAAUUUCAAUGGGAGUUGGAUGCCUAACUCCCUUAGGCUUAUUUGGAGAUGAUAGCCUUAUUUUAGGGAGGAAGUGGCCUUAUAGUUAAAAUCCAAAAAUGGGACCCAGGAGUCCUGGGUUCAAUUGGCAAGUCUGCCAAAGACUCCCUUUGUGGCCUUUGCUGAGUC